UAUUCACAUUCACAUCCAACAAUACUAACAUUUACAUUCAUCGAUUCACAUCCAACAAUAUUAACAUUUAACAAUUCACAUAUAUACAUAAUCAGGAGGUCAUAAUAUGUUCAACACAAUCCAAAAGUUCACAUAAUCAGGAGGUCAUAAUAUGUUCAACACAAUCCAAAAGUUCACAUAAUCAGGAGGUCAUAAUAUGUUUAACACAAUCCAAAAGUCCACAAAAGUUACCAAAAA